rnacentral:tRNA from 1 species
GGGGGAAGCUCAAGAAGUAGAGCGUAUGCUUAGUAUGCAAGAGGUCCUGGGUUCAAUUCCCAGUACCUCCU